AAAGGGUAGGGAAUAUUACAAAAUUCAAAAGUCUGUCAGAGUGAAAAGGUCCAGAGGGAAAUGUAGGAAAGAAGAUGUCACAUUCACUAGGAUAAGACUAGGACACACAGGACUAAACAGUAAACUGUUUAUCAUGAAAAAGAGAGAAUCAGAUAAAUGUGAAACUUGUGGACUUAGAGAAACUGUUGAACAUGUACUAUUUGGAUGUAGGAAAUUCAUUACAGAAAGGAAAAGGUUGAAGGAUGGUGUGGUCAAAAUGGGUAGGGAAUGGAGCAUCAAAGGGCUCCUAGAGCUAGGAGAGAAACAGGCUCAGGUUCAAAGGGCAGUUCUUAAGUACAUAUAUGAAACAGGAUUAAUGUCCAGAAUAUGAGUAUUUAUUGUCGAUUUUUUUUUUUUUUUUUUUUAAAUCUAUGAAAUGAACCCAGUAUAAAGUCAUGAUGUUACACACUCCGAUACAGUAGGUGGCGGCAUGCACCUUUAACGUUGGUUUGUAGCCCGCCAUUAAAACAGAAGAAGAAGAAGAAGCAGUAGGGGAGAUUUGGAGAGAAAUCUAAGGUUGUAUUUUGAUGGGAAUCUAACCAGUAUUCUUGCACAGAAUUGUGGUGUAGCUGUUUUCCCUUUCGACUCAGUUUGACAAAGGCCCUGUAGGCCCAUGCUGAAGAGGACAUGAGUCAGCCUUCACCUUUCUCCUGAUUGAGUCGCAGUAUAGAGCAAGUCAGCUCAACCGGUGCCUGUCUCUUACAGGGUCAAGGCUGGAGAAGACAGAGGGAGGAUCUGCGGGGAGUACAUGUGGUAUACACACCCUUCCUUGCAUGCAGUGUGGUAGGCCCGAAGUGUGGUGAGGACACAAACUAGUCUGUAGAUUUACCUCAGUUUGCAGUGUGUGUGUUGCAGUGCUUUGCAGUGUUUUGCAGUGAUCACGGUGGGCACGUGGUGAAGUGAUUUUGGGUUUUGCGACAGAAUCUCCCCGUGGUGAGUACCCUGCCUGAUAUUUUUUUCUUCAGCAGGUAGUGUAUUCCACACUCCUGCUUGUUUUCAUCCAUAUUGUAAUCUGUUCAGCUACUUUGUAGUUUUAAAUAUUAAUAGUGUAACAUUAAAAAUCUUUUCUUAAACUGAUUGUCCUUUUUCUUUCUUUUUUUUAGGUCCAUUACUGCUCCUUUAAUCCCCCUUUUUAUAAUAAAUACUGAGUUUUUGACUUGAAUGCAUGUCUCCGGCUCUUCUUGUACCUGUGAAAGAAUUUGUCUGUGGGUUUAAGUAGAGACCCUUAUUGUACACUGGGGUGGGCCACACAAAGACAAAACAGAGGAAACAACAAGCCAUCCAAACAGGUGAUCAUGACACCAAACUAUCUCAAAGGUAAGUGAGUGAGGCAGCAAAGGCGUUGCAAGUGGAAUGGAAUGAUGUAUGUGGACAUGCA